rnacentral:tRNA from 1 species
UAGCUCACUUGGUAGAGUGCUGGAUUUGCAUGCCAGAGGACCCUGGUUCAAACCCAAG